rnacentral:rRNA from 1 species
GAGUUUGAUCCUGGCUCAGAACGAACGCUGGCGGAGGCUUAACACAUGCAAGUCGAACGCCCGUAGCAAUACGGGAGUGGCAGACGGGUGAGUAACGCGUGGGAAUCUCCCCAAAGGUACGGAACAACUCAGGGAAACUUGAGCUAAUACCGUAUGUGCCCGAGAGGGCAAAGAUUUAUCGCCUUUGGAUGAGCCCGCGUUGGAUUAGCUAGUUGGUGGGGUAAUGGCCUACCAAGGCGACGAUCCAUAGCUGAUCUGAGAGGAUGAUCAGCCACACUGGGACUGAGACACGGCCCAGACUCCUACGGGAGGCAGCAGUGGGGAAUCUUGGACAAUGGGCGCAAGCCUGAUCCAGCCAUGCCGCGUGAGUGAAGAAGGCCUUCGGGUUGUAAACCUCUUUCAGCAGGGACGAAGCGUGAGUGACGGUACCUGCAGAAGAAGCACCGGCUAACUACGUGCCAGCAGCCGCGGUAAUACGUAGGGUGCGAGCGUUGUCCGGAAUUAUUGGGCGUAAAGAGCUCGUAGCGGUUUGUCGCGUCUAUCGUGAAAGUCCGAGGCUCACCUCGGAUCUGCGGGGGUACGGGCAGACUAUAGUGAUGUAAGGGAGACUGGAAUUCCUGGUGUAGCGGUGGGAAUGCCGCAAAUAUAGGAGGAACACCGAUGGCGAAAGCAGGUCUU